rnacentral:tRNA from 1 species
CGGGCCGUAGCGCAGAGGUCGUCGCGCCCUUUUCUCAAAAGGGAGGACGCCGGUUCGAAUCCGGUCGGCCUCGCC